AUCGGUUUAGGUUCGGAUUACCUG
rnacentral:siRNA from 1 species